AUCGGAUAAUCAUUAGAAUGUAUUUUCUUGAGGAAAACAAGCUGUUACUUUACGUUCAUUCGUAAACGUUCGUGCAUCAUCGUUACGCACAUAAAUACGUGUUAUACCAUUGAGUAAUAUCGUUUAAUAUGUCGACAGAAGACUUAUUUACAUUGUCAUUGUUUAGUAGAUACAACUAAAUGAAAUAUUAAGAUACUUAUUUGCUUGUCAGUGUCGAAGGAUUCAAUGGAAAAAUUGUAAUACCAGAGUGUACUAAGAAAAGCAAAUUACAAAGAAAUUACUCUUGCACAAUCGACCGAGUAUAUUACGGGCACUUGUCAUCGCAUUACAUAUUGUCAGUUUAUUCGUGGCAGUGACAUUGGCCAGUGAUAUGGCUACAUUUAUUCGCGUGUACUAACAUUGCUUUCACGCACGUGUAGCAAAAUGAAGGAUGACCAUCGACCAUCGAUAUCAAAUAUGACAUUGUUAAUGCGAUCUAUAUAAAUAAACGGUUUAAAAGAAAAAAAAAGUUAUCCCCUAUGCUACCAUGUUUCAUUAAUAAUAAUAUUUAGAUGUCUGAUGUAAUGGAUACGUUUGUGCGCAAAUACAGAGCGCUGAGAAUUUAAGCACUAAAAAUUCAUUUGAGCUAUAGAUCGUGUAUAUAGCAAAUACAAACGUGCGUGAAUGCUAUAAGUAGUUGCAGCCGGAUCGUAUUGCAAAUCCACGUAGCGCGAAUGUUACAACAAACCGGUUAGGAUCAAGUUUCACAAGUUUGCAAAGAAAUGGUUGAAAAUUCGGCGUUAUAAUAUUUAUCCUUCCCGAUAUGGUAAACUCGUCUGGCGCUAUUAUAGUCGUUUUAUUUACAAUUUCCCUUGAAAUUUUCUUCCAACUGUAAUGGUACAUUAGACGUAAUAUUAUAAUAUACGGUGUGUCACGUCACACGUGCCGAUGGUAUACACGUGCUACUGAAUUAUCGUGGAGAUUGAAAUUGAGGGGACAAUCUGGUCGAAGGCUUGGCAAUUUUACUGAAUAUGGACACUAUGAUAUCAGAGAGUGACAUCAUGGCGCGUUAACCUCAGUCCCCAUUUGUACUCAAGUCGGUAGUGGCGAUGCGAAGUCGUCGUACGACGACACCAAUCAAGUCAGCCUCCUCAUUCAAUCGUUCUAAGUAAGCCAAGUACAAACGACUAUUAAGCGCUCAUUGCCUGUUUGCUACCGAAGUAUUGAAUGAAAUUAUCUUUUACCAUGCCGGUUGUGUUAUCGACACCUACUGUCCACUCUAACAAAUUAUUUGUAACGUAACCGCGCGAGCGUCUGGAACAAAGAACGGUUCUCUCUUUGUUUGCUCGUGUAACAUUAAUUAACAUUAAUUAACGUAAUGGAACUUUAGUUUACCCUUGUUGUCCUAAAAACUAGGAAAUUAACGAGACAAACUAUUUUCUAGAUGCGUUUAUGCAAAAUUUAUCGCUUCUCAAAAGUUUUUCGAUCAAUUUUUAAAACUUUUGCUUUCCGUUGGCUUCCGUUCUGCGGUUGUUUACGAUAUCGGAGGAAAUUGGCACGGUGAAAGGUGAGGAAAAUUCGCGCGGUACCCUCGACAUUGAAUGGUGGAAGAAUGACGGUCGAAAGGGUCGAACGAUUAAAGAAUUCCUUGGAUCGAAUCUGGCCUCGGAUAUGGCUCUCUGUCGGACUUUGUCAGCUAUUAAUAGUCAGCGAUGUCGAAGAGGUGUAUGUAUAGUAUGUACUAUCUUUUCUACAACCUCCGUUUAGUUGUUUUCUUCUGCAUGCCACGCUACAUAUAAUUGCCUGGCAAGUUGUUUUGCUUCUGUCUCCUUGUCUGGCGUAACAAUGUAAUUAUU